UUCCUGCUGUGCUGCAUCUAUAUAUUUCUUAUGACAUAUCUGCCUGAGAGCACACUUUCAUGAUUAUACAUCCUGGUUUUUUUUACCAUAAUUUCUAAGCUUCUUGUAAAGAUCCAUGCCUUAUUCAUUAUUGUAAUCUCCAUAUACCAGGUACAGCAGAAGUGUCAACCUUUAUUUGCUCAAAGAUGAAAAAAAAAAGGAUGAACGGAUAAGUACCUUUUAUUCAUUUUCUACACUUGAGCAAAUCCCUAAACCUCUCUUUUCCACAGAAGUGGAGAUUGGAUCAGCCAAUUUACCCAGUUAAUGUGAGCACUGUAGACAGACAAAUAGGAUAACUGUGACCCAGAGGUCUACUCCGGGGCCAGAAUGACACCAUUUGGUUGUCAAUACCGAUCAUGUUUAAUUAGAAAAUUGCCAGAUUUCCGCUCUUAGUGCUAUGUGGACAUCACCUGAAAGCAAAGGGAUGACAAGCUGUUCUUAGCAUCUGCAAUAUUUAUGUAAUAAACAUGUUUUCAUUUGAGAAAAUGUGUGCCUACUUCUGAACAUGAUCAGAGCCUUUUAGAAUUUUUUCUCUAUUCCCCACACCAACUUUCUUCAUGGUUAGGAUCAAGAAACUAUAAGUGUAUAAUUCCUAGAGUUAUUAAAGUCAUGUUAAUUUUAUUUUAAUUCACAUCAUAGAAAUAAGCAUUCACAGAGUAGAUUUAGAGUAGGGUUAAAAAUCAAGAUUAGGGCUUAAGAAAUAAUCACUCCAGAAACAGAAUGGAGUCAUUUGAGAUGCCUCGUGACUCUGCGAAGUGGGUUAUUAACCUGUCAAGGACCUAUGUCUGCUCCGAACACCUCUCUGGUCUUUCAUGACCCUAUCAGAGCUCCUUCCAGAUGAAAGCAUAGCUGUAAUCACUGUGUUUUAUGCCAUCCACUCAGUUUCUCAAAUAGCAGGUUAUACUCAGAGUGAGAUUUGCUUUUUGAUCUGUCUGUAUCUGUAUUGAUGCCUCAUCAGAACUGGAAGAAGCCUGUCAGUAAUCAUUAACAGAGGGUUAGAGCAAAAAACUUUCAAGUGUUCAUUGGCCAGUCUCCAUAAUUCAAAACAGUCAUGCAGCAGUAACCAGGCUGCUCAUCUUGGUAUUCAGGCUUAAGCAUGUGACAUUUGCAUGGACUUGCUGGUCCACCCUUAAGGGUGGAGAACUCAAUUGUUAUUAUCAAGAAUAAACACCAAGGAUUAAGAUUCAAUAUCUAUGGCAUUUUCCUAUCUGUGCUUAUUGACUAAAGGGGUGCUUAAAUUAUGAAACUGCAAGAAUUCACCUAUGUUUUCAAAAGGCAUAUUGGAAAAGCAUUAUUCAUUAUGCCCAACAUAAACAAUUGAUUGUCAUAUCUGCUAAUUCGAAAAUCUCUUUUUACAUGGAAGGCACAUGUCUUAUUUUUUUAACUAUCUAAAAUAGAAAGUGGAAGAUCAAAAAAUCCACAAAAAAAGUUUUUUUAAAUUACAAUGCUACUGCCCUGAGAGUAUCAAGGUUAAAAUUUCUGCUUUAUAGUCUUUCAGCCACUUCAAUAUAUGUAGAUAUGCAUGUGAGAGUGAUAAAAAUUUGUAUUUAAAAUUAAAAUGAUAUAAUACUCAUACUAUUUUGUAAUAUACUUUUUUCACUUAGUAAUAUAGCAUCAAUAUUGCUCUGACCCAAAUGUUGACACGUUUUUUUGUAAAGGGUCAGAGGGUAAAUAUUCUAGGCUUUCCGGGUCACACUGUCUUUGCCACAACUAUUCAACUCUAUUUUUAUAGCAAGAAAGCAACCGUACACAAUACGUAAAAAAAUGGAUAUGACUAUGUUCCAAAAAAACUUUUUUUUUGCAAAAACAAGUAGCAGAAACACUGUGUUCAUGGAAUAAAGACUCAAUAUAGCAAAGAUUUCGAUUCUCCCUAUAUUGAUAUACAGGUUUAACAUAACUCCUGUCAUAUUUCCAGCAAAUCUUUUUGCAUUUAUGGACAAGAUAAUUCUAAAAUGUGUAUGAAAAGGCAAAGGAACUAGAAGAGCUAAAAUAAGUUUCAGAGAAGACUACAGUGGGAAGAGUCACUCUGUCCAAUUUUAAGAUGUAUUUUAUGGCUGCAGAAAUCAAGACUGUGUGGUAGUACGAACCAAAUAUCUAACAAAGAACUUUCUGGAGUAGAUAUUACUAGAGACCUAUCAGAACAGCCAAAAUAAAAAAUAAUGGCAAUACCCAAAGCUGGCAAGGAUGCAGAGCUACUGGAUCUCUUAUGCACUGUUUGGGGUACUGUAAAAUGAUAUAGCCACUCAGCAGUUACUUAAAAAGCUAAACAUAUACUUACUAUCCAACCCAGCAGCCACAUUUCUAGGCAUUUAUCCCAGAGAAAUGAAAACCUAUAUCCAUACCAAAACCUAUUCACAAGCGGUCAGAGCAGUUUCAUUUGUAAUAGUCAAAAGGAGGAAGCAACCACAACGUCCCCUUCAGGAGGUAAAUAGUUAAACAAGAUCUGAUAGAUCCAGGCAUUCCCUUGUGGUGCAGUAAGUUUAAGUAUCCAUCGUUGUCACCACAGCAGCCCAGGUUGCUGCUGUGGCACAGGUUCAAGCCCUGGCCCAGUAACUUCCCCAUAGCCUAGGUGUGGCCAAAAAAAAAAAUAUGAUAGAUCUUUACAUGGACUAUUACUCAGCCAAAACGAAAUGAACUAGUGAUACACCUAUAAUUUAAAUAUAUCUCAUGGACAUAAUGCAGAGGGGGGGGCGGAUUUCAAAAGGUAGUAUAAAUUGUAUGAUUUUGCUUACAUUCCCAAAAUAACAAAGUCACAAAGAUGGAAAACAGAUUAAUGGUUGCCAAGGUCUAGAAAUGGAAAGGGAGAAAGGAUAGGUAUGACUAUCAAAAGAGAGCACAAGAGAGACCUUUGUGACAAUGGAAUAGUUCUCUAUCUGGAUUGUGGUUGUAACUUUAGAAAUCCACACAAACAUUCCACUAAUGUCAGUUCCCUGGGUGAUACUGUACUACAGUUAUGUAAGAUGCAACCAGUGGAGGAAAUUAGGUGACUGAUACACAGGAGCUUUCUGUUCUAUCUUUUCUUUCUAUUCUAUCUUCCUGUGAAUCCAUAGUUAUUUUAAAAUUAAAAGCUUCUUUAGGAGUUCCCUUCGUGGUGCAGAGGAAACAAAUACGACAGAGAACCAUGAGGUUGCGGGUUCGAUCGCUGGCCUCACUCAGUGGGUCAAGGAUCCGGCAUUGCCAUGAGCUGUGGUGUAGGUUGCAGAUGCAGCUCAGAUCCCAUGUUGGUGUGGCUGUGGCAUAGGCCAGCAGCUGUAGCUCUGAUUAGACCCCUAGCCUGGGAACCUCCACGUGCCACAGGUGUAGCUCUAAAAAGCAAAAUAAAUGAAUUAAUUAAUUAAUUAAAGUUUUUUUUAAAAGCAGGUGAAAGGCCAUUGCCAUAGUUUGACUACAGUUUGCUAACCCCUGAUCUAGAAAAUUAGCUGUUUUGAUAGUAUUUAUUAGAUGUAGAAGAGGUCUUUCAGUAUACAUAAUUUAUUUAACAAUUUCUCUGCUUCUAAUUCUUCUCUUUAUAACACCAAGACCUAGAAUAUUUUAUAUCUUUUUAUACAUUUAUAGUUACUUCUCUAGAAUAAAUACCUAAAAUCACAGUACCGAAUAUACACAUAUCUUUAAACUCUUGGCAUAAUAUUGUCAAUUAUCUUCUAAAAAUUUCCAAUCAAUUCAUAUUCCCAUCAGUGCUGUAGGAGAGUGUGUACCCAUAUAUUCAUACAAUAUAUAUUAUCUUUAAAAAAAAAAAAACUUUGCACACUUGUCAAGAAGGAAUAUCUUUGUUUUUCUUCAUUUUAAGCGUAUUCUGCCUUUUACUUCUAGGUCUUUACUCAUGCUGGCCCCUGACACAUUCUGCCUCUUCCUAGAUAACUGGUACUCAAUCAUCCCAAGUAAGAUGCCACUUCCUGCAGGAAGACCUCCUCCAUAAUUGGCCCAGAUGAGGUAGACUUCUUAUUCACUUCCACAGCACCCUAUCCUUCUUUGCUCUAUCACUUAUACUCUGUGGUCACAGCUUGUUUCAUUGUGUGUCUUCAAUCUUUAGACCUUGAUCUCUGUAGGGCUAUACUUAUCUUGCCCCCUCUUUUUAUGCUCAGUAGCACAACGAUGCCUGACAAAUUGUAGGUGUUCAUUAAAUACUUACUAAAUCAAAGGAUGAAAAAAGAUUGUAUCCAUCAUAAAGGAGAUGUUCUAUUUUUCAAUCAUUCACAACAAUAUUGAUAUUUUUACUGUUUAUGUAUAAAAACAUAGAUAUAAAUAUAUAAUGUUGUGUUUCUAGCACCAUCCAGGAAAAAAGGUCCUUUACUUAUGAAAAUAGAUAUCAGAUCAGCACAAAGCCUACUCUUACAGGAGGGAGAUAGAGUCAUUGGAUUAUCAUAGCUUGAUGACACUGGCCAUGAAGAUUAUUCAAAUGGCUUUCAUUGCACACUUCCCAAGCCACUUUUUAGUUAUUAUUUUGUUUUUAGGCAUAGACUAUAGACUACCCAGAUGGAGAAUAUGCAAGCUUAAAUAUUCCUAUCCUUGUGACAAUUAGACUUUUUCACUAAACAUUAAUAAAGUGACAUUCAAUUUGGGCAUCAGUUGCUUAUGAACUGUUUCUUAUACAUUCCCCAAACUCUAUCAUCUCCCUUACAAGGUAGCAAUGACUUCCAUGUGCCAUCAACCUCCAGGGGCUGGCUGCCUGUUUGCUUUCCCACACUGCAAUAGGCAUGACAUUUAAAUCUCUGUCUGUUUUAUCCCUAAGCAUUCUUAUUUCAUUGGACUUUUUGAAAGUUCCAAGUAUCUUCUAAAACUCUUCAUGAAGUCAUUCGCAAGCCUCUGUGCUCUUUCUGCCUUAGCCAAAAUAUGUUCUUUGAUUGUAAUUGGAUUAGAUCUAAACUUGGAGAGGUAUCAGAAUGUGCCCAGUCCUGAUCAGACUGUUAUGGCUCCUCUUUGGCAAGAGAUUUCAAAAUCUGAUUGUAUUCUUUAUCAAGACUCCCUAUCUAUACAAACUUGUUCCUCGUGUUUAAAGGCCUUUGGCAUUUAACACAAUUAAAGCAGUCAGGUUUAUUGUAGGUAGGUGGCUUUUAGAAAAGAUCAGAAAGUAUGUUUAGUGGCUGGGAUUUAAAUAUUUGUAAAACAGGAGUUCCCAUUGUGGCUUGCGGUUAGUGAACCCAACUAGUAUUCAUGAGGACAUGGGUUCGAUCCCUGGCAUCGCUCAGUGUGUUAAGGAUCCUGUGUUGCCGUGAGCUGUGAUGUAGGUCACAGAUGCAACUUGGAUCCUGCAUUGCUAUGGCUGUGGCAUAGGCCAGCGGCUACAGCUCCUAUUGGACCCCUAGCCUGGGAACCUUCAUAUGCCACAGCUGCAAUCCUAAAAA
ensembl:lncRNA